rnacentral:rRNA from 1 species
GAUGAACGCUGGCGGCGUGCCUAAUACAUGCAAGUCGAGCGAACAGACGAGGAGCUUGCUCCUUUGACGUUAGCGGCGGACGGGUGAGUAACACGUGGGUAACCUACCUAUAAGACUGGGAUAACUUCGGGAAACCGGAGCUAAUACCGGAUAAUAUUUCGAACCGCAUGGUUCGAUAGUGAAAGAUGGCUUUGCUAUCACUUAUAGAUGGACCUGCGCCGUAUUAGCUAGUUGGUAAGGUAACGGCUUACCAAGGCAACGAUACGUAGCCGACCUGAGAGGGUGAUCGGCCACACUGGAACUGAGACACGGUCCAGACUCCUACGGGAGGCAGCAGUAGGGAAUCUUCCGCAACGGGCGAAAGCCUGACGGAGCAACGCCGCGUGAGUGAUGAAGGUCUUCGGAUCGUAAAACUCUGUUAUUAGGGAAGAACAAACGUGUAAGUAACUGUGCACGUCUUGACGGUACCUAAUCAGGAAGCCACGGCUAACUACGUG